rnacentral:rRNA from 1 species
CAAUAGCGUAUAUUAAAGUUGUUGCAGUUAAAAAGCUCGUAGUUGAAUUUUUGCUUGCCGCCGAUGUCGGAACUUCCGUACGUUCGGCGGCGUGCAUCCUUGGGUGGAACCUGUGUGGCAUUAGGUUGUCGUGCAGGGGAUGCUCAUCGUUUACUGUGAAAAAAUUAGAGUGUUCAAAGCAGGCUUACGCCGUUGAAUAUAUUAGCAUGGAAUAAUAAGAUAGGACCUUGGUACUAUUUUGUUGGUUUGCGCACCGAGGUAAUGAUUAACAGGGACAGUUGGGUGUAUUCGUAUUCCAUUGUCAGAGGUGAAAUUCUUGGAUUUCUGGAAGACGAACUACUGCGAAAGCAUUUACCAAGGAUGUUUUCAUUAA